rnacentral:rRNA from 1 species
UACGUAGGUGGCAAGCGUUGUCCGGAUUUACUGGGCGUAAAGAGCGCGCAGGCGGUCGUAUAAGUCGCGUGUGAAAGCCCCCGGCUCAACUGGGGAGGGUCACGCGAUACUGGUCGACUCGAAGGCAGGAGAGGGUAGUGGAAUUCCCGGUGUAGUGGUGAAAUGCGUAGAUAUCGGGAGGAACACCAGUGGCGAAGGCGACUACCUGGCCUGUUCUUGACGCUGAGGCGCGAAAGCUAGGGGAGCAAACGGG